rnacentral:lncRNA from 1 species
AUGGUCAACCCCACCGUGUACUUCCACAUUGCCAUUGACACGGAGCCCUUGGGCCGCGUCUCCUUCGAGCUGUUUGCAGACGAGGUUCCAAAGACAGCAGAAAACUUUCGUGCUCUGAGCGCUGGAAAGAAAGGAUUUGGGUGUGAGGGUUCCUGCUUUCACAGAAUUAUUACAGGGUUUAUAUGUCAGGGUGGUGACUUCACAUGCCAUAUGGCACUGGUGGCAAGUCCAUCUACAGGUAGAAAUUUGAUGAGGAGAACUUCAUCCUGAAGCAUAGAGGUACUGGCAUCUUGCCCAUGGCAAAUGCUGGACCCAACACAAAUGGUUCCCAGUUUUUCAUGUGCCCUGCCAAGACUCAGUGGUUGGAUGGCAAGCAUGUGGUCUUUGGCAUGGUGAAGGCAUGAAUAUCAUGGAGGCCAUGGAACACUUUGGGUCCAGGAAUGAUAAGGCCAGCAAGAAGAUCACCAUUGCUGACUGUGGACAGCUCUACUAA